AAACCUUAAGCCUUGCUUGGUAUUGGGUUGUCGCCUUACCUGCCUAUGUACAGGUAGUGGCGUGCCUGAAAGUCAAUGGCAGUACCUAAAUAGACUCAAGCGUAGCAGACUGACUCACUUUGGAGAACUUUUGUAGACUCUUGUUGACAAAUUAAUCAUGUUUAGACCUUGGAUCAGGUAGGGAUACCUGCUGAACUUAA
rnacentral:misc_RNA from 1 species